AAAAAUGGUGUCAACUUAAUUAUAUUUAACAGAAACAAUGUAAUUUUCAAAAAAUUAGGUUUACAAAAUUUUUUUAAAUUGAGUCAACAAGAAUAUUUUUUGUUCAUCUUAACCGGAUGCACGUCAUCAACGGAAACGGAUGCAGAUGGAUUGCUCAGCAGCGAACAUGUGAGUUGGAUAAAUGAAUUUCAUCGGAUCACAACCCUUCCUUUACACUCCAAAAUUCAUGUCCAAACUGGAUCUGUUCUCUGAUGAUCUGCUAAAAGUGUUUUCCAAAAAAGGGUGGAGUGUUUAGAAAAAAGAUUCAAGAUGUGAUGCUGCCAAUGUCUCAGACCAAGCAAGAGUGCAUUCUCAAGGGGCUAUGCAUCUACCUGAAUGAAGAUGAAUAUGAUGGAGUAUUUGGAUGAUAACCCUGCAAGAACCGAAGCGGACAUGAAGAAGACCUUUUAGGGAUUCUGUGAUGUAAAGCAUGAAUUUGCUGAUUCAACAGAAGACCCUGAAGAUAUCUGCAUUGUGCUGGAAUAUGUGGAGGUGCUUUCUGGUUUAGGUAAUGUAGCAUUGGCUACAGCCAUGCUACUUGGACUAAUAUACUCUUUAAAUCUUACUCAUCCACAGGAGAUCCAUUACACUUUUAAGGUGCUCCAAAAAAUGAUUCUCGAGCUGAACUUGUGUAAAUUGUCUGCCAAAGCACAGGCGCAGAAAACAAAACUCUUCACUUAGGUGUGCUGUGCUUGAGGAUCCCUUUGUGAAUGCUGUGUUUUAUUUCCUUGUAUGCUCAUGUGAUUUUGUUGUAUCUGAAUUUUUGCACGAUGAGCAGAGGUGAUUACGUCUCUCAAUCACAUUUAAUAUCAUGUUUAAGAAAACAAAAUAAAAUAACAUUUUGUUA